GUCGAGGUGCCGGGUACAGACCCAAGGCCACGACUCCAUAACCCACCAGAUGCUCCCAGAAGUGUGUUUUACCGAUCUCCCCAGGUUGACUCCAAUACAGAACAGGAGAUGUCCACAGAUGGGCCCGGGAGAGGGGUCAGAACCUGAGAGAAAUGGGCUGAGCAGAGGACCUGUCACAGGCCACAGAGGAAGAGGAGGCCACUGUUGGACCUUGUUCCCAGAUUCGAUUAGUGACGAUCCCUUGAAGCACGACACAGUCAUGAGUACUCACUGGAGAACUUUAUUUUCUGGCCGGGACCCAUGUGCACUCCAACCAAGCCGGAGGACAAAAGGCCCCAACUGAAAUGAGGACUGCAUAUUUAAAGGGAAAAACUACAGAAAAAGUCCCUCCUCCCAUUCCCCCGGGUAACGCUGUGUUGCAGAUCACCUGAAGCACAGUUUGCUUGUUUUACCUUGAAGUUAUAUGCAUCGGUUAGGGGUGGGGUUUUCUCCCAGGAGACAGAGUGCAGCUGGAAGUCACAUAUUUGCAAAAUGGAGGACAAUGUUCUCAACAUGGCGCUGGUAUUGCUAAGCUGCUGAGUUGGGUCUCACAGCCACCAAACAGAUGGACCAGAAAGGCUUGGCCAAGUGCUGAGCAGUUCUGCGGGGCCACCUGGUUGUCCACUACUAUGAGCUGAGGGCCACACAAGGGUCCUUGCACCCACUUGCAAACCCCAAGGCUCCACGGCUGCUGACAAGGAAAACUGUGGACCGUGCUGCAGACAGAGCCCUGUGGCAACAGCUCCUGGAAGCCUGGGGUCGUCCACCUGAGUCACCGAGGAGGACCUGCUCUUAACCCGGCCUGACCCAGCGUCACCUGACUCCAACUCCCAGUGCGUCCCCAGUCAUGCACACGGCAGACAAGCAAGGUUAUCCCGCAAACCUGCUGGGAUGGCAGUGUGCUCAGCCACAGGAGAGCUGAUUCCUGCCGCGCCCACAGUCCUGUCAUUGGCUUCCUGGGACGCGCGGUACACGGCACAUGCUAGCUAGGGCCUACUGGUAAUACAGUUUCGGGCUGGGAGAUGUCAUCUUUAAUUCUGUGUCUGAGCUCCCUGUUCACCAGAGACCCAAGUCCUCCUGUGUUUCUGCUUCUCCAUCCAUAAAUGCAGGGGUCCCAGGUGAGGAAGGCACGAGUGAUCUGGGCUGUCACAGCAACAGUCAGGACUGUCACCGCUGGCAGGCAGAGCUUCCAGACCAGUCACCAGGACACCAGGCUGCAUUCCUGCGAAUCUGACUAAAGGGAACAGGUGGCUUCCUGGCAGGUCAGCAUGGAUAAUGGUGGCUUCCUGGCUGGUUCCCUGACUUGUCACCAUAGACAACGCUUGGCUUCCUGGCAGGUCACCAUGGAUGUUUCUCUGGUUGUCACCAUGAAUAACUGUCAGUUCCCUUGUUGACCACUGACCAGCCAGAGAACCAACCAUUACCCACAACUACUUACCCACUCUCAUUUGCCAACGCACCACCUUACUUAUCCAACUGCUGACCUGGACCUCAUAACAAACUCUCUGUGUACAGCAUCCAGUCUGGACCUCUUGAUGCUGAGCCUUACAGAGCAUCCAGGAGGCUUUUAUAAGUGAAGGACUUUGCAGAGAAACAGAGAGCUCUCUCUGGGGUGUAUGCUGCAAGUAUUUUCUGCUCUCUUGGUUUAGUCUUAAUUUUAUGAUGUUUCCUAUCAUGCAACUUUAUUUGUACAAAAUCCAGUUUACCAAUCCUUUUUCUUAAUGCCCCUGCAUUUUGAGUUAUACCCUUGCCUAAAACAGGAAAUCGUCUGUAUCUUCUGCUAGUACUGGUAUGGUUGCACUUUUCACCACCUGAUCUAACUGGAUUUCAUUCUUGCACAUGGAAAGAGAUGCGGAUCUAAUUUCAUCUUCUUCCAAAUGGCAGUCCAGCUGUCUCAGCACCAUUUUUUAGAAGAUGAAUCUCUGCCUGGUGACCUGACACCUCUGCCACUUGCGGAGUUUCCACACACGCUUGGGACUGUCUUGGAUUCUCUUUUCUACACCACUGGCCUAUUUAUUCAUGCUUAUACAACAGUGUUAACUAUCGAGGUUUGAUGGUGGAUGUUAGUGCUAUGAGGACUGGUUCCUCUUUACGCUUUUCUGUUUACCUGGUUAUUUUGGGUUUGUUUGGGCUUUUUUUUUUGAGGCAGGGUCUCACUAUGUGGCCCUGAACUCAUAAGGCUUGACCAAUCCUCCUGCUUCAGCCUGCCAAGUAACUGGACUUCAGGCACUCAUUUUCUGGCUAUUUUGUAUCCCUUGUACAUUUUGUAUCUAUCUGUCUAUCUAUCUAUCUAUCUAUCUAUCUAUCUAUCUAUAGUAUCUCUACAUUUUAUAUACAUACAUUUUGUAUCUAUAUACAUUUCAGAAUCAACUUGCCUAACUCCAUAAAAUAACUUUGAGUUAGAGACUGCUUUGUAUGCGUAUAAAGGCAUUUGGGAGAACUGACAUGUUUGUUUAGCUCUCCCUAUCAAGACUGAGAGAUGUCUCUCCAUGUGUCCAACUCGAUUUUUGUGUCUUUAGAGACAUUUAAAAUUUCACUGUGGAGGUCUGCACAUUUCUUAUUAAACAUGUUCCUAAGCACUCUCCUCUGCUGCUAUUGCAAAUGGGCUUUUCCUCUCUGACAUCUUCUGUUAUUGUUCACAUACAGGAAGCCUGGCUUUUGUCUCGAUUUUAUCUCCACCACUGCACUGAGUUGGUGUCAUCAUGGCUCUCCAGGGUGUCCACACUGGUCACUGUCACAUCCUCUGAGAACAGAGUUCUCCUUCCUCAUUGUGGCUUUUGCCCUGUCUGUCUCAGUGAGGACCCUGGCCGGUGCCAAAGAGGUGAGGCCUCGCCCUAACCUUAGAAGAAAUGCAGCCAGUCUCUUCAUAAAGUGAGGCACUGGCUCGGGACACGGGAUGUACACAUUCUACCACAUCAAGAGUCUAUCCUAGGGCCGGGGAUUUAGCUCAGUGAUUCCACCACCUGCCUCACAAGAGCAAGGUCUCGAGUUCGAUCCCUGGCACCAAAAAAAAAAAAAAAGGGUAUAUCCUCAGCUGGGCAUGGUGCUGCACACCUAUAAUCCCAGCACUCUCGGGAGGCUGAGGUGG
ensembl:lncRNA